rnacentral:rRNA from 1 species
GAUGAACGCUGGCGGCGUGCCUAAUACAUGCAAGUCGAGCGAAUGGAUUAAGAGCUUGCUCUUAUGAAGUUAGCGGCGGACGGGUGAGUAACACGUGGGUAACCUGCCCAUAAGACUGGGAUAACUCCGGGAAACCGGGGCUAAUACCGGAUAACAUUUUGAACCGCAUGGUUCGAAAUUGAAAGGCGGCUUCGGCUGUCACUUAUGGAUGGACCCGCGUCGCAUUAGCUAGUUGGUGAGGUAACGGCUCACCAAGGCAACGAUGCGUGGCCGACCUGAGAGGGUGAUCGGCCACACUGGGACUGGGACACGGCCCAGACUCCUACGGGAGGCAGCAGUAGGUAAUCUUCCGCAAUGGACGAAAGUCUGACGGAGCAACGCCGCGUGAGUGAUGAAGGCUUUCGGGUCGUAAAACUCUGUUGUUAGGGAAGAACGAGUGCUAGUUGAAUAAGCUGGCACCUUGACGGUACCUAACCAGAAAGCCACGGCUAACUACGUGCCAGCCGCCGCGGUAA